rnacentral:rRNA from 1 species
GCAGUCGACGGAGAUUACAGGCGGAAGUUUUCGGAUGGAAGCUUGUAAACUUAGUGGCGGACGGGUGAGUAACACGUGAGCAACCUGCCUAUCAGAGGGGGAUAACGAUUGGAAACGAUCGCUAAUACCGCAUGACAUAGCGGAACCGCAUGGUUCUGUUAUCAAAGAUUUUAUCGCUGAUAGAUGGGCUCGCGUCCGAUUAGAUAGUUGGUGGGGUAACGGCCUACCAAGUCGACGAUCGGUAGCCGGACUGAGAGGUCGAACGGCCACAUUGGGACUGAGACACGGCCCAGACUCCUACGGGAGGCAGCAGUGGGGGAUAUUGCACAAUGGGGGAAACCCUGAUGCAGCGACGCCGCGUGAGGGAAGACGGUCCUCUGGAUUGUAAACCUCUGUCUUCGGGGACGAAACGAGACGGUACCCGAGGAGGAAGCCACGGCUAACUACGUGCCAGCAGCCGCGGUAAUACGUAGGUGGCAAGCGUUGUCCGGAAUUACUGGGUGUAAAGGGAGCGUAGGCGGGCAGGCAAGUCAGGCGUGAAAUAUAUCGGCUCAACCGGUAACGGCGCUUGAAACUGCAGGUCUUGAGUGGAGUAGAGGUUGGCGGAAUUCCUAGUGUAGCGGUGAAAUGCGUAGAUAUUAGGAGGAACACCAGUGGCGAAGGCGGCCAACUGGGCUUUUACUGACGCUGAGGCUCGAAAGUGUGGGGAGCAAACAGGAUUAGAUACCCUGGUAGUCCACACCGUAAACGAUGAUUACUAGGUGUGGGGGGGACUGACCCCUUCCGUGCCGGAGUUAACACAAUAAGUAAUCCACCUGG